CUUCGGAGGUACUCGAGUGGCGAACGGGUGAGUAACACGUGGGUAAUCUGCCCUGCACUUCGGGAUAAGCCUGGGAAACUGGGUCUAAUACCGAAUAUGACCACGAGACGCAUGUCUUGUGGUGGAAAGCUUUUGCGGUGUGGGAUGGGCCCGCGGCCUAUCAGCUUGUUGGUGGGGUGAUGGCCUACCAAGGCGACGACGGGUAGCCGGCCUGAGAGGGUGUCCGGCCACACUGGGACUGAGAUACGGCCCAGACUCCUACGGGAGGCAGCAGUGGGGAAUAUUGCACAAUGGGCGCAAGCCUGAUGCAGCGACGCCGCGUGGGGGAUGACGGCCUUCGGGUUGUAAACCUCUUUCAGCAGGGACGAAGCGCAAGUGACGGUACCUGCAGAAGAAGCACCGGCCAACUACGUGCCAGCAGCCGCGGUAAUACGUAGGGUGCGAGCGUUGUCCGGAAUUACUGGGCGUAAAGAGCUCGUAGGUGGUUUGUCGCGUUGUUCGUGAAAACCGGGGGCUUAACCCUCGGCGUGCGGGCGAUACGGGCAGACUGGAGUACUGCAGGGGAGACUGGAAUUCCUGGUGUAGCGGUGGAAUGCGCAGAUAUCAGGAGGAACACCGGUGGCGAAGGCGGGUCUCUGGGCAGUAACUGACGCUGAGGAGCGAAAGCGUGGGGAGCGAACAGGAUUAGAUACCCUGGUAGUCCACGCCGUAAACGGUGGGUACUAGGUGUGGGUUUCCUUCCUUGGAAUCCGUGCCGUAGCUAACGCAUUAAGUACCCCGCCUGGGGAGUACGGCCGCAAGGCUAAAACUCAAAGGAAUUGACGGGGGCCCGCACAAGCGGCGGAGCAUGUGGAUUAAUUCGAUGCAAU
rnacentral:rRNA from 1 species